CCCAACUUCGGUUAUAAGAUCCCUCGAAGAUGACGAGGUUAAUAGGUUCGAGGUGGAAGCGUGGUGACACGUGGAGCUGACGAAUACUAAUCGAUCGAAGACUUAAUCAA
rnacentral:rRNA from 1 species